AGUAACCAGAAAAUUUAGGCAUUUGGAUUUGAAAAGAAGUUAUCUGCUGAAAUUCAAAGACAAAUUUCCAUAUGUUACAAAAUUGAAAUCAAAAUUCCAUAAGGCACUCGCUCCAUCCCUCCAGCCAUCAUCCCAAAAGCAAAGGGGUUCAGUUUGUUCAGGUGGAGCUCGCUUUCUCCACCCCCAGUGCCAGCAAAUCUGUUUGGUGUGGGAGGACGGUGGAGCAUGCCGCCCACAGCCACCUGCUCUGCCGGAGGGCCCGCAGCCUUGCCAGCACUGUGCCAAGGCACCAGCUCGGGGUGGGAGUCUGCAGGAGGCACGGAUCAGCUGGGAGGUGUGCUGCUCUGCUUCUCCCUUGCUUGCGGGUGACCUUUGCUGAUAAAGAUAUAUUUGGAUUUUAAAAAAUGACUCCACGGUGUCUCCCCAUUUCCUAGUUGAGCAUACAUUAGUGGAUCACAAACCAUUCCCAUGAAGUGACAUGUCACCUUGAGCUGUUUGAAGAGGUCUGGAAGCAUCAUCUGACACUCUCAUCCCCAA
ensembl:lncRNA